rnacentral:tRNA from 1 species
UGAGCAGUAGCUCGGUGGUAGAGCUCCAGCUUCGUAUGCGGGAAGAGCUGGGUUUGAUCCUCGGCCGCUUAC